GCCGGGGUAGCUCAGCUGGGAGAGCAACAGACUGAAGCUAUUGCAAUUGUGAGCGAUCUGGAGGUCCCGUGUUCAAUCCACGGUCCUGGCA